rnacentral:rRNA from 1 species
AUGGAGUUUUCUACUGUCAACCUCCAAUCUGAGUCACUAGGGAGUAAAAGAUUUGUCCUUGUCGAGGCAGAAAAAGGAAUGCUCGGGAUGCUCACUACACGUAACGGCUAUGAUAAGGACAUCAAAGAUCGCCGAAUUUGGCUCGCGUAUUCCAUUCUGACAAAUAACCAAUGGCAUGUGGAGAAGGUCAUCCGGUUACUGGUAAAGGAUGUGCAUCUAGUUGGUGCAGCCGGGGGAUUCCUGCUCAUGUACACGGUGUACUUAAAAUCUUCACGAGACAAGCUGGAGUUUCGAUACUUUUCGGUGGACCUUAAGACUUUCCAGGUCGAGUUGUUCGCUGCACUUUGUAAGCACUUACCUGGAGGACUGUACGAUGAUUUCCCAAACCCACCUGGACGACCAUACGCUGGUUUCCCACCAUCACUGUGUGCGCCAAAUAUAUGA